CACGAAGCUGGAAUCGCUAGUAAUCGCGGAUCAGCACGCCGCGGUGAAUACGUUCCCGGGCCUUGUACACACCGCCCGUCACACCAUGAGAGUCUGUAACACCCAAAGCCGGUGGGAUAACCUUUAUAGGAGUCAGCCGUCUAAGGUAGGACAGAUGAUUAGGGUGAAGUCGUAACAAGGUAAC
rnacentral:rRNA from 1 species